rnacentral:rRNA from 1 species
AUUGAACGCUGCGGCAGGCCUAACACAUGCAAGUCGAGCGGAUGAAGGUAGCUUGCUACCUGAUUCAGCGGCGGACGGGUGAGUAAUGCCUAGGAAUCUGCCUGGUAGUGGGGGGCAACGUUUCGAAAGGAACGCUAAUACCGCAUACGUCCUACGGGAGAAAGUGGGGGAUCUUCGGACCUCACGCUCUCAGAUGAGCCUAGGUAGGAUUAGCUAGUUGGUGGGGUAAAGGCUCACCAAGGCGACGAUCGUUAACUGUUCGGAGAGGAGGAUCAGUCACACUGGAACUGAGACACGGUCCAGACUCCUACGGGAGGAAGCAGUGGGGAAUAUUGGACAAUGGGCGAAAGCCUGAUCCAGCCAUGCCGCGUGUGUGAAGAAGGUUUUCGGAUUGUAAAGCACUUUAAGUUGGGAGGAAGGGCAGUAAGUUAAUACCUUGCUGUUUUGACGUUACCGACAGAAUAAGCACCGGCUAACUUCGUGCCAGCCGCCGCCGUAAAAC